UAAAGAAUAGUUUAAUAAAAAUAUUAAUUUUGGAGAUUAAUGAUAUAUAAUUUUAUAUUUUUUUAA
rnacentral:tRNA from 1 species